rnacentral:rRNA from 1 species
AUAUCAAUAAGCGGAGGAAAAGAAACUAACAAGGAUUCCCCCAGUAACUGCGAGUGAAGAGGGAAGAGCUCAAAUUUAGAAUCUGACAGUCUUUGGCUGUCCGAGUUGUAAAUUAGAGAAGUGUUAUCCGCGCUGGCUGUGCAUAAGUCUCUUGGAAAAGGGCAUCAUAGAGGGUGACAAUCCCGUCUUUAGCACAGGCUACCAGGGCUUUUGUGAUACGCUCUCGAUGAGUCGAGUUGUUUGGGAAUGCAGCUCUAAAUGGGUGGUAAAUUCCAUCUAAAGCUAAAUAUUGGCGAGAGACCGAUAGCGCACAAGUACCGUGAGGGAAAGAUGAAAAGAACUUUGAAAAGAGAGUUAAAGAGUAC